UACGUAGGGUGCAAGCGUUAAUCGGAAUUACUGGGCGUAAAGGACUCGUAGGUGGCCAACUAAGUCAGACGUGAAAUCCCUCGGCUUAACCGGGGAACUGCGUCUGAUACUGGAUGGCUUGAGAUUGGGAGAGGGAUGCGGAAUUCCUGGUGUAGCGGUGAAAUGCGUAGAGAUCAGGAGGAACACCUGUGGUGUAGACAGCUUACUGGACGAUAACUGACGCUGAGGCACGAAAGCGUGGGUAGCAAACAGG
rnacentral:rRNA from 1 species